GAUGAACGCUGGCUGCGUUCCUAAUACAUGCAAGUCGAGCGAACAGACUAGGAGCUUGCUCCUCUGACGUUAUCGGCGGACGGGUGAGUAACACGUGGAUAACCUCCCUAUACGACUGUGUUAACUUCGGUAAACCGGCUCUAAUACCGUCUAAUAUCUUGAACCGCAUGGUUCAAUAGUGAAAUACGGUUUUGCUGUCACUUAUAGAUGGAUCCGCGCCGCAUUAGCUAGUUGGUAAGGUAACGGCUUACCAAGGCAACGAUGCGUAGCCGACCUGAGAGGGGAAUAGGAAACACAGGAACUGAGACACGGUCAAGACGAGUACGGGAGGCAGCAGUAGCGGAUCAUAGGCAAUGGGCGGAAGCCUGAAGGAGGAACGCAGCGUGAGUGAUGAAGGUCUUCGGAGCGUAAAACACUGUUAUUAGGGAAGAACAAAUGUGAAAGUAACAAUGCACGUCUUGACGGUACCUAAUCAGAAAGCCACGGCUAACUAAGUG
rnacentral:rRNA from 1 species